rnacentral:lncRNA from 1 species
AGUAAAGCCAUCGUAUCUUUUCUGUUGUAAUUUAUGCGUACGUACUACAAUUCUAUUCGCAUUAUCUUCUAAAUUGACUUGCUUUACAUAACAUUUUGCAAUAUAUGCAUUUUUUAAAUUAAGUCAACAUCAACCUUCUUCUUCACCGCAACAAAGCCUUCAAAAGUAUGUAGGAAACAAUUAUAUUAAUCAACGAAGUUGAAAAAAAGAGAAUACAAAUUACACAACUCAAAUUCAAAGGCAAGCGUUUUUUUCCAAAACGGCGUCCCCUAUGUUAUUUCAAACAGAUAACCAUAACCAUCCAAAAUCCAUAAGAAGUUACAAUAUUGAAGCAUUACGUAUAAUUUAAACAAACUGAGAUUUUAGUCAUUGCACUUUGUUGAUUACCAGGUCAAGUUAGAUUAGAUAAUAUUUCAACAAUAAAACCUUGAACGAACAUCGUCUUAUUUAUUCACCGAAGAUUCGCAUUAACCUCUUUAU